GAAAGCCAAAACUCAAUAAAGCUCAAGCUCUUUCGCAUAAGUAUUUUGGGCGGGCUUUGGGCGGAAGAGUUUUUCAGUGUACCCAACCCAAACCUCGACCCAAAACCCCAUUUAUGCUCAACUCGACAAAAUGUUUGAAGUCACCGAGAUAACGGCUAACCCAGUCUCCUCUCUCCGCAAAUGUUCCUCUCUCUCACUCCGAGUAGAGUUGGUAAGUCAAGGCUUGGCUUUUUCUGCGCUCUGCAUCUUUUCCUCUUUGCCCAGUUCAGGAUUGUGACCCAAAUGAUUCGUAAUAUAG
rnacentral:lncRNA from 1 species